rnacentral:rRNA from 1 species
AUUGAACGCUGGCGGCAGGCCUAACACAUGCAAGUCGAGCGGUAGCACAGAGAGCUUGCUCUCGGGUGACGAGCGGCGGACGGGUGAGUAAUGUCUGGGAAACUGCCUGAUGGAGGGGGAUAACUACUGGAAACGGUAGCUAAUACCGCAUAACGUCGCAAGACCAAAGUGGGGGACCUUCGGGCCUCAUGCCAUCAGAUGUGCCCAGAUGGGAUUAGCUAGUAGGUGGGGUAAUGGCUCACCUAGGCGACGAUCCCUAGCUGGUCUGAGAGGAUGACCAGCCACACUGGAACCGAGACACGGUCCAGACUCCUACGGGAGGCAGCAGUGGGGAAUAUUGCACAAUGGGCGCAAGCCUGAUGCAGCCAUGCCGCGUGUGUGAAGAAGGCCUUCGGGUUGUAAAGCACUUUCAGCGGGGAGGAAGGCGAUAAGGUUAAUAACCUCAUCGAUUGACGUUACCCGCAGAAGAAGCACCGGCUAACUCCGUGCCAGCAGCCGCGGUAAUACGGAGGGUGCAAGCGUUAAUCGGAAUUACUGGGCGUAAAGCGCACGCAGGCGGUCUGUCAAGUCGGAUGUGAAAUCCCCGGGCUCAACCUGGGAACUGCAUUCGAAACUGGCAGGCUAGAGUCUUGUAGAGGGGGGUAGAAUUCCAGGUGUAGCGGUGAAAUGCGUAGAGAUCUGGAGGAAUACCGGUGGCGAAGGCGGCCCCCUGGACAAAGACUGACGCUCAGGUGCGAAAGCGUGGGGAGCAAACAGGAUUAGAUACCCUGGUAGUCCACGCCGUAAACGAUGUCGAUUUGGAGGUUGUGCCCUUGAGGCGUGGCUUCCGGAGCUAACGCGUUAAAUCGACCGCCUGGGGAGUACGGCCGCAAGGUUAAAACUCAAAUGAAUUGACGGGGGCCCGCACAAGCGGUGGAGCAUGUGGUUUAAUUCGAUGCAACGCGAAGAACCUUACCUGGUCUUGACAUCCACAGAACUUUCCAGAGAUGGAUUGGUGCCUUCGGGAACUGUGAGACAGGUGCUGCAUGGCUGUCGUCAGCUCGUGUUGUGAAAUGUUGGGUUAAGUCCCGCAACGAGCGCAACCCUUAUCCUUUGUUGCCAGCGGUCCGGCCGGGAACUCAAAGGAGACUGCCAGUGAUAAACUGGAGGAAGGUGGGGAUGACGUCAAGUCAUCAUGGCCCUUACGACCAGGGCUACACACGUGCUACAAUGGCAUAUACAAAGAGAAGCGACCUCGCGAGAGCAAGCGGACCUCAUAAAGUAUGUCGUAGUCCGGAUUGGAGUCUGCAACUCGACUCCAUGAAGUCGGAAUCGCUAGUAAUCGUAGAUCAGAAUGCUACGGUGAAUACGUUCCCGGGCCU